AGAUAUUCUCGAACUCUAUGAUUGGCUUGAAAUUUUAUCUCAAUAUUUACAACUCAUGAUACUUGCUCUUCUAUUUCUCAAAGGUCAUGUCAGUCCAUUGAUGACAAUAAAAGUCAUUGAUGUUAUUCCUCUCUUAUAUCCCAUAUAGGGAAAAUGCUAGCAUUAUGGGCCGUAAAUGGCUUACGAUCAAGAUAUGAAAAAGCUAAGUAUAAUAUCU
rnacentral:lncRNA from 1 species